CUUGCCUUGCUUCAUGGAGACCCUGGCUCUGUUAUUUAGAUGAGAGUAGAUGCAGUAAGCAGUGAAGUCAUCCGAAUUAUUAUCUUAAAACUUGUAUUAGCCACAAGAAUCUGGAAACCCAAGGCAUCUGAGUGUAAGUGUGAGUUGUUUGGUAGAGGGGUCCAAAAACAUGUUGUCAAAAAUGAGAAGCACAUUUUAAACUGUGUCCGUGUAAAUAACGUGGCAGUGCUUAGAGCUAGCUCUUCACCAAAAGGAGGACGUUACUCUGGGAGGCAGGAUCAAGAGAGGGGGAGACUGGUCCUUAGAUGGUGAUGAACCCACGGAAAGGCGUCCACUGCUCAUUUUACUAGGCAAGGGCAGGGAGGACUGGGAAGGAACAGAGAAGCCUCAAAUUAUUUUCAGGUUAAUUUCAGACCAUAGAAAGCCAUUGGGUGGCAUCCCUAGCCUCUUGUAACCAGCAGUUCUGAGCCACUUAAGUGUGAGAGUUCCUAACAAUGGUAAAGUGAGGGGACCCUGCAAAAGGCCUUCAGAGCAGCCUUACAGAAGCCCAUGCACCCUAGCAAGAUGCAAAGCAGGAGUUGUGUCUUUAAAAGUGAGCAGCUGAGAGAGUGCUCAGCUAACUGAGAGGCUUUCAAAGACAAGGAGAAGGGCAUGAAGAGGCUUGUUUUAGACCACAGACAUUAUAGGAAAGGUGCACGUUCACCUGUGUCUGAGAACCUGGCUGUUGGGUGGUUACGGACACAUAAGGACUGUGUGUAUGAAACACCAUUGUUACUUCUUAUUCUACGAUAUGACUCCUAGAUAUAGGGCUACAGGUUUAAGUAAAAGUUUAAUGAACUGAGUUUUGUCUUUUGAAGUGGUGACCCUAUUGAUGGUAUUUGUUGAGGCCUAUCAGAGAUGGUAUGGAUGACACUGGAUCAUGGGGAUGAACCUGUAGAAGUGGCAUUCAUGCCUCAAUCAGCCACACCAGGAAUGUUGGACUCUGUCUCUGCCAUCUCAAGACUUGGGGUGGCCUGCCAAAGCAUUGGUGAUAGGAGGAAGCCAGGAGUGGAGUCGGCAUGAGAAGCAGACCGGGGUUGCUCCAAUGCUGGACUUUUACCUUUUCCAGAGCAGGGAGAAAAUUAGAAUCUAGUAUAACAGCCUAGUAUAUGGUAGAAUUUUAUAACUACAACCUAGCACUCUAAGAUUCCAAGUCAGGACAGUUUUGAGAGCAAAGGAGGAUAUUAAGAUUGAUUAAAAUUAUAUAUCUCAAGAAGUCAUUAAACUGCUCCUUCAAUUUCAGCACCUGGAAGGAGGAAGAAAGGAAGUCAGAAUUUCAAGAGCAGCCUUGGUGACAUUCUACCUUUUAGACUGACUUCCUGUAUGACUUUAUAAAAUGGAUUCAAACGAUUCAAUAGAAAUAAAAUGUCUGUGACUUGUACCUGGGUUCAAGGCCAGUCUUAACUGACAAAAAGGGAAAAAUAUAAAAGGAAAAGAAACCUUCAACAAAUUGGCAUGUGCUUUAAACUGGUUGACUUAUAAAUAUUUCUUAGCAGAAAUUCUUUGCAAAAAUCACUUCAUCUAUAAAAUAAAUCAUAGUUUUAUAGGUUAAAGAAAAAUAUAAAAAUUAUAAUAUCUUAAUAUCUUAACACCAAAAAUAAUAUGCAACAUCCCAUGUUUGCUGAAAAUGAUCUGUUACAUACAUAAUAUAUAUUUUCAAGGAAAGUCUUACUUUUUUUGAUGUUAUCUCUUUAAUCUUCAAAUAAUCUUCAAAUUAAUGUUUCUAAUAAUGUUAGAAAUGGAUGUGUGUUUCCUCUGUCCUGUAAUGUAUAACAUUAUAUUUGAGAAAAUACAUUGACACUGGGUGCUUAUGAAUCGAAUCAACCCAAAAGAAAUGUCUGAAGUGAUUGAGACAAUCAGUUCUAGCCCUUAGGAAGUGUGUUCACAUACGAGGUCAGGCACUGGACAGAUAAUGGCUUUUUACCUCAAUUUCGAGAUUCUCUUUGCCACCAAAUAUUUUACAAGGCAAAAACUCAUAAAAAUAAACUCUGGGCUCAUAAUUCUAUUGUGUUGCCAAAUAGAUGUACGAAGUCAUAGGACUUUCAUUCCAUUCCAGUACAUGAUAUAAUCCAAUUACAAAAACGGAGCUUGAUCAAAAGAUUGUUCCUACAAGUAAUUUGCAGGAUUUCAAAACUGGACUUUGAGCUGUCUGAGGUCUUCGUCACUUAAUUCUCUCAUCUCCCUGACUUGGUUGGAAUCAUCUUGCCUUUGUACUUAUUGCAAAACCUGAAAUCUUCUGGCUUCCAACACAUGAGUGUCUUGAUAGAAGAUUUUCAACUAAUCAUUUUUUAAUUGAAGAAUCUUUCAGUGCCAACAAGGGACUAGCGGGCUGAUUUACGAUGCAAUUCUCCUGAAUGCUGAAACACUUCUAAAAUCCAGUUAAAAAAGAACAAAAGAAGUACACACCACCUUGCAAAAUGUGCGUUGUCUUGGACUUAUUUAGUUUUGUUUCUGUGUUCAAUGUAAGUUUAAUCAAUAGGCAUUCAUAGUCAGCUGUGUUAAUUAAAAUGUUUCUAAAUUCUGAUGCUGGCUGCAGCUGUUGUUUCAAGCUGUGACAGUUCACUCAAUAUAGUAUGUUUAUAUGUGUAUGCCACCCAAUUGCAAGAAUAAUUUUCUCUGUAUUUCUUGAAUGAAUACAAUCAUAAUUUUACCUAUGAUGUGUUCUACUCUACCAAAUGUGUCCAUAUCAACACCACAAAACCUAGUAAUAGUAAGUUCAAUGUUGAACUUUUUAACUCAACGUAGAAUACAUUCAUCUCUACACCUCUGAGAAGGAUAUUUUUAUGUAGGUUUGAUAAAAAUUCAAUCAAUUAAAGAGAAAAAAUAUUGGUUCUUAGUUGUAACAUUAAACAUCUACAAAACUGUUUUCUUUAACUCUUUACAAAUAAUUUCUGCUAUAGUCUGAACAUUUGUGUCUUCCUGUAAUACACGUGUGAUGGUUAGCUUAAAUUGCUGACAUGACUUAAUGUAGAAUCACUGGAAAGAGAGUCUCAAUGAGGAGUUGUCUACGUUGGCUUGGCCUUUGGGCAUGUCUUGGAGGUAAGGAUUAAUUAGGUUAAUUGAUGUUGGGAGACAGAGUUCACUGUGGGUGGCACCAUUCCCUGAGCAGGGAAAUCAUAAACUAUUCAGGAAUGGAGAAAUGGAGUUGACUCAAGCACAUGAGUGAGUGAAUUUGUACACAUUCAUUUUUCUCUGCUUUUUAUUGUAGAUGUAAUCUGUUUGAAUUUCUUGCCUUGGUUUCUCCACAAUGAUAAACUAUUAUCUGAGACUGUAAACUAAAAUAAAUCCCUUUCUCGUCUAAGUCGCUUUCUGUUGGACUCUAUAUCAUAGCAUCAGAAAUGGAAUUAAAACAACACAUCAAAUCCAAGUUAUGACUAGGAUAGUUUUUCUCGAUGGGAACUUUGGGGAUGAGCAGGUCACAAGAGCAGAGCCUUCAGGAUGAAGUUAAUGUAUUUAUAAAAGAAACCACCUUAGGAACUGCCUUGUCCCCUUUCUGUGUGAGGUCACUGUAGGAAAACAUGAUUUAUGUAACAGGAAACAGACUUCCACCAGAUACUGACUGUGCAGAUGCCUUCAUCUUGGACUUCCAACCUCUAGAGCUAUGAGAAAUAACCGUGUGUUGUUUAUAAGCAGCUUAGUCUGUGGCCUUGUGUCAUAGCAUCCUGAACAGACCAGAGAUCUUCCUUUGCCACUGGAAUCAACACAUCGCAGCCUUUCCCCAGGUGUCUUUUUAUUGUGAUAAAAUGCUGUGACCAAAAGCAACUUAGGGAGAAAAGGCUUUGUUUCAGCUUCUAGGUUACAGCGCAUCAUUUAGGGAAGUCAGACAGAACCUCACAGAGCACCUCAAGGCAGAAACCACAGGAAGCAUUGCCUCUGGCUCAUUGAGCUCAUACUCAGCUGGCUUUCACACACAGUGUAGGAUCACCUGCCCAGGGAAUUCUUAUACCUACUGAUACGUGAUUUACAUAAGAUUGUGAUGCUUAGAGUUGAUUGUCAACUUGAAGGACUUUAGAACUACCUGAAAGAAAGGUUUCUGAGCAUACCUGCAGGGGAAUAUCCAUCAAAGCGAGAAGACACAUCUCAGUGGUAGGUAACAGCAUUUCGUGGACAAAGAUCUCUGAACAAAGUGGAGAGAUGAAGCCAAACACUAGGAAACAUGCAUCCACUUCUCUGUUCUUCUGACUACAGACAUGAUGUGACUAACUGCUUCAAGCUCCUACUGCCUUGAUCCCCUGCCAUUAUGGACUGCACUUUGAACUCAGAGAAUAAGCUCUUUCUCCCUUAGAAUGUCUAAUCACAGUACAGGAAGAGAGGCUAAGACAGGGAUUUUCUUUGUUUAAAUCCUUGUUGUGGUUUCUGUUUUCAGUUGGAUCAUGGCCAGUAUAAUGCUGACUGUGAGAGGUGGGCACGGACAGUAACCUUGGAGGACCUCAACAGCAGGCUGUGGUUCUGAACUUGAUUGAAAUAAAGAACUUCCUACCGUGUGAAACAAGAUUCAGUGCAAGUAGCACCCAUGACUUAACUCCAUCCAUCUGUGGAAUCGGCCUUGAAGUUUUGUUUGAACUUGGUGUGGUUCUCCUGGCUGGGCCAUGAGUUUUCCCAAGAGUGAACCCAGGCUGCAUGGCUGCUUCUGCUGAGCUACAUCAUGCUUCGGAAUGAAUGCCAGUGGCUUUUCUGCAUACUCGGCAUCAUAGGAAGAGUUACGAUCUGUCGACACUAUGAACCUCUGCCUCAGCACUUUCCACAAUUUGCCAAAAUUAUGUUUGCCACAACCAGAUACUUUUCUAAAGAGAGAUUACUGGGGCCUCAUUAGCAUCUAACUGGUGUGUGGAUUUUACUUGUCUCUCAGAGCUUAAAACCAGGGAAGAAUGCCACUCUUGAGAAAAGUCAACUCUCAAUUUCCUCUUACCAUAUCAUAAUAAAUGAAACAACAUAAACAGAGAAGCAUUAUUGUUACCCUUAUCAUUACCAUAGAUGCAUCUGCUCGGCACAUAAAGAAUUAACACCCAGCAAAGUAAAAUGUCAUGUCUUGUCAAAAAAA